UCCCUCAGUCCCACAUCAAGUGACUCAAAUUUGUCUAAAAGCUGACGUAUAUACAGACACAUAUAUUAAAAUUCGUUUAGAUACAUGUAAUAUUGCGGUACUGAUACGUGACUAUACGGGAUACUCCCCUGCAUUGGCAGCCGUUACUCUUCCUACGGAGCUUCUUGGGUCGUGCUGGCUCUUUUUUUCUAAAUUUUUUUUAUCUGUCUUUAUUCUUCAGAUUUUGACUCGUGGGUGUUGACAAUUUGGCAUGCCAAUUGUGAUACCUGCGAUCUCCCUUUCGUUCCAAUAAACGGGCAGCCAGCCAAGUAGCCACUAGAGGACCUAGUCUGUUAAUCACAUUCACAUCCGCAUUGCGAGUACUCGCACUCAAGGUCAUGUUCUUCCACGUCACUCGAUUAAGAAUGCCUUGUUAAUCUCUGACGGCCGGCAACAACGAGUUACUGUUAAUUAAUCGAGAGGCGGCCGCUUUAUUAUUCCAAGAAUUUCCCCCACACACAUGAGAGCUAGCCAAAACACAAUCUGGAAUUAGCCCACCUCAUACAUGGACACA
rnacentral:lncRNA from 1 species